rnacentral:rRNA from 1 species
UACGUAGGUGGCAAGCGUUAUCCGGAUUUACUGGGUGUAAAGGGCGUGUAGGCGGGACUGCAAGUCAGAUGUGAAAACCACGGGCUCAACCUGUGGCCUGCAUUUGAAACUGUAGUUCUUGAGUACUGGAGAGGCAGACGGAAUUCCUAGUGUAGCGGUGAAAUGCGUAGAUAUUAGGAGGAACACCAGUGGCGAAGGCGGCUUGCUGGACGAAAACUGACGUUGAGGCUCGAAAGCGUGGGGAGCAAACAGG